ACGGGAGGCAGCAGUAGGGAAUAUUGCACAAUGGGGGGAACCCUGAUGCAGCAACGCCACGUGUGGGAAGAAGCAUUUCGGUGUGUAAACCACUGUCGUGAAGGAAUAAUGCUUGGUUUCGGCCAAGUUGAAUGUACUUUGAAAGGGAGCACCGGCAGACUUCGUGCAAGCAGCCGCGGUAAUACGAGGGGUGCAAGCGUUGUUCGGAAUCACUGGGCGUAAAGGGAGCGCAGGCGGGGAUGCAAGCAGUCUGUACAAUACCGGGGCCCCCCCCCGGACCUGCAGACUGGACUGUUUCCCUUGGAUAGCUCAGGGGCUGGCGGAAUUCCUGGUGUAGCGGUGGAAUGCGUAGAGAUCAGGAAGAACCCCGAUGGCGAAGGCAGCCAGCUGGGGGCUUAUCGACGCUCAUGCUCGAAAGUGCGGGUAGCAAACAGGAUUAGAUACCCUGGUA
rnacentral:rRNA from 1 species